ensembl:snoRNA small nucleolar RNA SNORA42/SNORA80 family
GCAUGGGUCUGGAUUUAUGGAAGGGUACCCCAUAGCUCCUCCAUAGUGUACCCCAUGCAAGAGUAGAUGGCCCUCCUGAACCAUGGCCGUCCCAGUGCCUGUGGGUCCUGGACUCAAAUGGGGGGCACAGCU